UGCAGGAUAUGCAGUGAUAACCCUGGACACUGUCGUUAAGCUGAGCUCAUUGCUUUAAUUCAGGCCUUAGAACUCAGUGAAGUUGCAGGUGUUGUGUCUUAGAUCCAUCACAGUCAGCUAACACUGGCAGCUCAGGACAAGUAGACCAGCCAGCAGGACACAGAUCUUCCUACCCGGCUGAUUCGGAGACGAGACCAAGCUGUUGCUGAGGACGACAGCCCUGCUCUGGUCACUCCGGAGGCUGACCAGUCUACACACGGCUGAAGCUUGAAGAAACAACAAGCCCGGCUCUAGUCACGCACUGGCAGCUGAAUAGUCUACGCAUGGCCGAAGCUUGAGGACUUGUCAAGCAAGUAAACGUAGUUAAAAAUCUUA
rnacentral:lncRNA from 1 species